rnacentral:misc_RNA from 1 species
UACGUAGGUGGCAAGCGUUGUCCGGAAUUACUGGGCGUAAAGCGCGCGUAGGCGGAUUAGUAAGUUAGAGGUGAAAUCCCAGGGCUCAACCUUGGAACUGCCUUUGAUACUGCUAGUCUUGAGUUCGAGAGAGGUCAGUGGAAUUCCGAGUGUAGAGGUGAAAUUCGUAGAUAUUCGGAGGAACACCAGUGGCGAAGGUGGCUCACUGGCUCGAUACUGACGUUGAGGUGAGAAAGUGUGGGGAGCAAACAGG